GGUAGUCCACGCCGUAAACGAUGAGUGCUAAGUGUUAGGGGGUUUCCGCCCCUUAGUGCUGCAGCUAACGCAUUAAGCACUCCGCCUGGGGAGUACGACCGCAAGGUUGAAACUCAAAGGAAUUGACGGGGACCCGCACAAGCGGUGGAGCAUGUGGUUUGAUUCGAAGCAACGCGAAGAACCUUACCAAAUCUUGACAUCCUCUGACUCCUCCAGAGAUAGAGUUUUCCCCUUCGGGGGACAGAGUGACAGGUGGUGCAUGGUUGUCGUCAGCUCGUGUCGUGAGAUGUUGGGUUAAGUCCCGCAACGAGCGCAACCCUUAAGCUUAGUUGCCAUCAUUAAGUUGGGCACUCUAAGUUGACUGCCGGUGACAAACCGGAGGAAGGUGGGGAUGACGUCAAAUCAUCAUGCCCCUUAUGAUUUGGGCUACACACGUGCUACAAUGGACAAUACAAAGGGCAGCGAAACCGCGAGGUCAAGCAAAUCCCAUAAAGUUGUUCUCAGUUCGGAUUGUAGUCUGCAACUCGACUAUAUGAAGCUGGAAUCGCUAGUAAUCGUAGAUCAGCAUGCUACGGUGAAUACGUUCCCGGGUCUUGUACACACCGCCCGUCACACCACGAGAGUUUGUAACACCCGAAGCCGGUGGAGUAACCAUUUGGAGCUAGCCGUCGAAGGUGGGACAAAUGAUUGGGGUGAAGUCGUAACAAGGUAGCCGUAUCGGAAGGUGC
rnacentral:rRNA from 1 species